GUACUUGCUUUGGCAGCACAUAUACUAAAAUUGGAACGAUACAGAGAAGAUUAGCGUGGUCCCUGGGCAAGAAUAUCACGCAAAUUCAUAAAGCGUUCCAUAUUUUU
rnacentral:snRNA from 1 species